AGAGUUUGAUCAUGGCUCAGAACGAACGCUGGCGGCAGGCCUAACACAUGCAAGUCGAACGAAGGCCCUCUUCGGAGGUGUCCUUAGUGGCGGACGGGUGAGUAACACGUGGGAACCUACCUAGCAGUACGGAAUAACUGUGGGAAACUGCAGCUAAUACCGUAUACGCCCUACGGGGGAAAGAUUUAUCGCUGCUGGAUGGGCCCGCGGCUGAUUAGCUUGUUGGUGGGGUAACGGCUCACCAAGGCGACGAUCAGUAGCUGGUCUGAGAGGAUGAUCAGCCACACUGGGACUGAGACACGGCCCAGACUCCUACGGGAGGCAGCAGUGGGGAAUAUUGGACAAUGGGGGAAACCCUGAUCCAGCCAUGCCGCGUGAGUGAAGAAGGCCUUAGGGUUGUAAAACUCUUUCACCGGGGACGAUGAUGACGGUACCCGGAGAAGAAGCCCCGGCUAACUCCGUGCCAGCAGCCGCGGUAAUACGGAGGGGGCUAGCGUUGUUCGGAAUUACUGGGCGUAAAGCGCGCGUAGGCGGUUUAUCAAGUCAGGCGUGAAAGCCCCGGGCUCAACCCGGGAAUUGCGUUUGAUACUGGUUGACUAGAGGCCGGGAGAGGGUAGUGGAAUUCCCAGUGUAGAGGUGAAAUUCGUAGAUAUUGGAAGAACACCGGUGGCGAAGCGGCUACCUGGACCGGACCCUGACCGCCUGAGGUGCGAAAGCGUG
rnacentral:rRNA from 1 species